CUAAGACAUGGCCCAGACUCCUACGGGAGGCAGCAGUGGGGAAUUUUCCGCAAUGGGCGAAAGCCUGACGGAGCAAUGCCGCGUGAAGGUGGAAGGCCUACGGGUGGUCAACUUCUUUUCUCGGAGAAGAAACAAUGAUGGUAUUUGAGGAAUAAGCAUAGGAUAACUCUGUGCCAGCAGCCAUGGUAAGACAGAGGAUGCAAGCGUUAUUCGGAAUGAUUGGGCAUAAAGCGUCUGUAGGUGGCUUUUCAAGUCCGCCAUCAAAUCGCAGGGCUGAACCCUGGACAAGCGAUGGAAACUACCAAGAUGGAGUACAAUAGGGUCAGAGGGAAUUUCUGGUGGAGCGGUGAAAUGCAUUGAGAUCGGAAAGAACACCAAUGGCGAAAGCACUCUGCUGGGCCGACACUGACACUGAGAGACAAAAGCUAGGGGAGCAAAUGGGAUUAGAGACCCCAGUAGUCCUAGCCGUAAACGAUGGAUACUAGGUGCUAUGCGACUCGACCCAUGCAGUGUUGUAGCAAAUGCAUUAAGUAUCCUGCCAGGGCUUGACAU
rnacentral:rRNA from 1 species